rnacentral:lncRNA from 1 species
GAUGAACAGCAGCAUGGGAGUGUAAGCCGAAUAAACCCUUUCCUCCCCAACUUGCUUCUUGGUCAUGAUGUUUGUGCAGGAAUAGAAACCCUGACUAAGACAAAUUGGUACCAGCAGAGUGGGGUAUUCCUGUGACAACCUGACCAUGUUUUGGGGAGGUCUGUGGAAGGACUUUGGAACUUUGGUCUUGAAGAUCCAUUUGUUGUUAAGAGCUCUGUGGGAUGUUGUGUAGGAGCUUGGAAGAUAAUGUUGAGAACAGUGCAGAAGAUGGAGGCCUGGCUUGUGAAAUUUCAGAGGGAAAAUUAAAGACUCUUUUCAGGGCCAUUGCUGUUUUGAUUGUGAAGAUUCUGUAGUUCUGGUUAGCUGGGGCUGAAGAAUCAGCUGUGAUUAACAAGAUACCAGAACUACUGAAGCAAAAGCUUUGCAUUACUGGGACUAUUGAUGCUGGUUAGCUGGAGCUAAGAAAUUAGCGGUGAUUAAGAAGAGACCAGCAUCAUUGAGGUGACAUCUUCUGGGAAGUGUUUUCUGAGAGCACAGUGGCUGUGUUCCAGAUAUAGCCAAAGUUGUACCUUGUGCUGUGGCUGGACUUGGUAAUGUGUAAGAGUCACCCAGGUGGUACUGGUUUUGAAGGCAUGAAGGAGUUGAGCAGAACAGCUGAGGCUUGGCACUGUGAGAGGCCAUGGAAGGCCAUUGGUGAAAGUCCAGCCUCAUUUGCAAUUGAUGGCCCAGGACUGAAGGGGUCAUGCAGUGUUUUGGAGAUGCCAGUACCAUGAGAUGACCACCAAGAACAGCAGCAGCAGUGGAGUACAGGCAUCUGGAGCCUAGAGGAUGACGCGUGUGCUACAAAGGGCCUGGCUGGAGAAGUGACCCAAGCCCUUGGAGGAGCCCAGAAGAUUGUGAGUUGGAUCCCAGACAUUGGACAGUUGGAGAUUGACUUUUGCUUUUGAUUGUGACUGUGCCCUGAUAUUUUCCCUCUUGAAGGAAGAAACUG